GUUGAUUUUUGAGUUGACUUUUUAGUGUAAAAUUAAAAAGUCGACGUCUUAUUAUUCGAAAUUGUUUUCUAUGGAUUUUAAUUAUUUUAUAAAAUUAUAUUUGCUAGAUUUGAGCCGUCUGGAAGUCGUUUCACGCGAGAAUGCCAUUUUAGAGUAUCUACCUAACUUCGUAAAGUUAAGUAUCUUGCCUAACAUUUUGUGAGGGAAACUACCCCUUAGGUUUGAGAUAAUUAUGUUAUUUGUGGUAUGUGAAAGUCGUGUGCGCGAGGUGGCGAGUGGGUACACGGCCUAUAUGUGGUAAUUGACCGGUUUCGAGCAUCUAUAUACUUCCCGUGCCUUUACUUGAUAUUUUGCACUCUUAUGCUUUAGUUGAAGAUGUUGCCUUCCUUAUUGUAUCGUGACCUCUUAAUUGUUGAGUUCCUUCUAUGACUCUGUGCUUAUCUGCUACCUGUACUAAUUGUUGUGAUUGCACAUCUUAGUUAUCAUGUGCCUUACUUGUCUUGUCAUUUUUGUAAGUUUUUUGUAUUCCUUUGAUUUUUACAUAAUUCCUUUAUUGCCGUGUACUCAUACCCUUGAUUGUAGAAAUUCCUGUAAAUUGAGUUAUUGAAUUAUUUGUGUUGAUUUAAAUUAUUAUGGAUUGGGUUGGACGCUGCAACAGGUGGAAUAAGGGAGAAUUCAUAUUGAUACGGUGGGAUCGGGUUGCGCGCCGCUACAUGUGAAAUAAGGGUGGAUUGAUAUGGUGAAAUACGGGUGAAUUAUGAAAUUGACUCUGAUUAUAUGGUGGGGUUGGGUUGCGCGCUGCAACAUAUAUUUAGUUAUUAUUAUUGAUAUUUACAUGGUGGGAUAAGGGUGGAUAGUGUUGUACGAUGGGACGGGUUGCGUGCCGCAACAGUUUAUAUGUUUUGUAUUCCUUGUUAUAUUGUGUUGGCUUUGGUUCUUUCGUACGAGACUCUGUGGAUUUGGUAGUACUGGUUUUUACUAGUUUUUGAGGAUUGAGUUGUUUUUCAUUGAUUUUAUGCCUCGCCGUCACUUCGUGUUUUUUUUUCCUCACUAUUAUUUUGCUGAAUUGAUUUUAAAGAUAAAUUUACUAUGCUGAGUCAUUUUCUCAUAUCCUUCUGAGUUGUUAGUAACAUAGUGGUUUUAAAUAAAAGAAUUAAUAACAUGUUUACCUUAUGUGACUCUUAAUUUAGCACUCGUCAUUUCAUUCGGUACUUUACUAUUUUUAAUAGUCGUCAUAUUUCACUUUAAUCGAUUUAUCAAGUUAAUCUCCUUACCCUAUCUGAUGUUUCUACCUUACUUGAAAAGGAAGUGUUAUUAUUUUUUAAUUUAAUAAAUUCUAUAUUCAAUCAGUAACUUACCAGAUACUUUAUUUUAAUUGAAAAUAUUAUUUCCUUCACCCAAAUAAUUUCAAAAAUAAACUCAUUUUUCUCAAUUGAUUUACUAUUUUAUACUAUGUUGUUAUUUUGCUUUAAUGUAUGAGAUUAAAUCUCCUGAAUAUUUUAAAGUAAUAUCUAAUACGGGUACAAGAUACAUGGUAGCACGUGGAUUUUGCUGUGCGAAACUGAUUUGAAAAAAUAUGGGCACAAGGUGCCAUGUGUGUAAGGUUUGGAAGUUAUGACUUAAAAUCUGAGAUUACAAGAUGUGAUACUCGGGGUAAUUCUUAUUGAAAUCCGUGCAUUUAGAAUGAUUUGAUUGACUGAGCUGUCAUCGGUUUCCCUUACCUGAACACAUUCACAUUGCUUCUGUACCCCGACUAUGUUAUUGUGUAAUUACUUGGAUGUUCUCAUUGCCUUUCGUGCUCCCCUUAUUUUUAUUGUUGAUUGUGAUUUGAAAUCUUUCUGUAUUUGGCCUCAUAUUGAUAUUUCUUUCUUGUUAGUUUCAUGUCAUAUCCUGCACGGGUGUUUCAUGUCCGAUCCAGGUACUUAUGAUCGAAUUGGUUGAAGACUUAUGUCUGCGCUGCUGGAAACUUCAAGGUAUAUAUGUUCGACGUUCGCAGGCCCCGAAGUCACUUUUUGUUGUAAUUUAUUUCCAUUGUUUCCUAUUAUUCCGGCACAAUGAUGUACUUCUUAUUUAUAGUUACUCUUAGAAAGGCUUGUGACUUGUAAUAUCGGUUUUGGAAUUUUGUAACUGAGGUUGGUUGACUAUGUUGUUACAUAAAUUAUUUAAUUUAUUGUAGUUAAGUUAGUUAAAUUU